AUGUCUUUUCUGUUUGUAUGUAUUUAUUACAUGAAGCUGGAACAUGAGUCCUACAGGGAGCUGGAAUAUUAUAUCCCUUUCCUGGGGAAUCGCCGUGUCUGUCCACAUGAUCCAGGAAGUUCUAGGCAUCUGGCAAAAAAGCAGUUAAGAGUACACCACUGUCAGUCAUCUGGAAAUCCUUUCACUUUUAACCUUUCCGUGGCAUUUCACUGCAUGUGGGCUUUUCGUAAACAGCACUUAUGCCGGUGGGCGCUCCUGUCGCUGUCCCCCUCUCGCCUUCCACUCGGAUCCACAGGCACAAGCCCCGAAAGCACUUCCUUUGUGGAUGGCAGGUCCCAGAACAGGGCCAGCCAGUAG
rnacentral:lncRNA from 1 species